UACAGGGGGGGCAAGCGUUGUUCGGAAUUACUGGGCGUAAAGGGCGCGUAGGCGGCCUUCUAAGUCGGACGUGAAAUCCCCGGGCUCAACCCGGGAACUGCGUCCGAGACUGAAAGGCUUGAAUCCGGGAGAGGGAUGUGGAAUUCCAGGUGUAGCGGUGAAAUGCGUAGAUAUCUGGAGGAACAUCGGUGGCGAAGGCGGCGUCCUGGACCGGUAUUGACGCUGAGGCGCGAAAGCCAGGGGAGCAAACGGG
rnacentral:rRNA from 1 species